CAACAUCAUUCUUUGUCCAGGGGGCUUAUGAUCUGUGCCCUGGGACCCUAAGAGGAAAUAUGUAGAAGAAAGUUGACUCCUACGCUGCCCAGUUAACUGGAGAGGACACAUCCUUUAUCUCUGCUUAGCUAACUCUUCCUACUGUUGCCUCUGUUCUUCAUUGCUGGGCUGGUGAUAAGUGAGAGGGCUGGAGGAGGGAGAGGAAAUGGAAAAGGAGACAGAAGGAAGCGAUCUCCACCCAUUAAGCUGGGCUGCAGUGGUGCUGCCCUGAGACUCAUUUGUCUGAAGCAACUUGCUUCACUCUGCCGCAUGGUAGAGACAGUCCUGGGCCUAGUAUUUAUGGCCUAUGAGCUGGUAGGAGAGAAAGAACAAGUAGGAUUACCAACUACUGAAAUAUUCCAGUACCUGGAAGAUCCUGGAGAGUCAGGAGAAGAAGCCCUUUUGAGAAAGCAUCUAGAACCAAUAUGAGAGAAUUCCAGAGGACAAGAUAGUGGUGCUAAAAUGAGCUACGCAUGUGAAGUACCAGUGUCACAAUAAAACAAAUUAGAACUUGUA